CCUUGUACACACCGCCCGUCACACCAUGAGAGUUUGUAACACCCGAAGCCGGUGGCGUAACCCUUUUAGGGAGCGAGCCGUCUAAGGUGGGACAAAUGAUUAGGGUGAAGUCGUAACAAGGUAGCCGUAGGAGAACCUGCGGCUGGAUCACCUCCUUUCUAAGGAAACAGACUGAAAGUCUGACGGAAACCUGCACACACGAAACUUUGUUUAGUUUUGAGGGGAUCACCCUCAAGCACCCUAACGGGUGCGACUUUGUUCUUUGAAAACUGGAUAUCAUUGUAUUAAUUGUUUUAAAUUGCCGAGAACACAGCGUAUUUGUAUGAGUUUCUGAAAAAGAAAUUCGCAUCGCAUAACCGCUGACGCAAGUCAGUACAGGUUAAGUUACAAAGGGCGCACGGUGGAUGCCUUGGCA
rnacentral:misc_RNA from 1 species